rnacentral:lncRNA from 1 species
UUCCUGGAUCCAGGUGACCAGGUCGGACAGCUGCGGUCAACGCAAACAACGAGUAAACGCAAGGCUGCAAGCAGAAAGGGUCAACGCGAACAACGAGUAAACGCAAGGCUGCAAGAAGAAAGGCGCAAGGAUAUGGCCUUUGCUGAAUCAAUAUGGACCUUUAUGCCAGGAAAGAAGGGAUCAGUUGUUCAGGGGCCAAACACUAGAACUCUAACAAAUGCUCAUGAUGGUAUCUUGGAUGAUAUUAAUUGUGCUCAGAUUGCUGGGAAGCAUGUGGGAGAUCAUUCCAAUUGUGCUAAUGUCAUCAAGCGGAUAGGUCCGCUGGGCCAUCAUCAGACAACAAUUUUGGAAAAUCAAUUUGGGUUACCUUCACUUGUUGAUAAGGCCACAGCUAACACAACAAAUCUUGUGGCAUCUGCGUCAUCUUCCAUGACACCCGAUGAAAUAGGAGAGGGGAAAAACAAUCCAGAUGAGGUGUUUGUAUGUAUAUGUGGAGAGAAGCUUUUAUUCCAUACAAACUUCAAUACAACGGCAGUAAAAGAACUUGUCGUAUUUGCUCUCCAGAGGAGGAACAUCAAGUAUUGUGAUAUUUAUGUAACAUGGUACAGAAAAGUUCUGAAAGGAGAUGAGAUCUUGAGCUCCAUACCUAUCCACACGAAUACGCAUAUUCAUGUGACACCCAGACUGAGGGGUGGAGAGUUAAUUCCAAUGGAAUAUGAGCGUAUGGAUGAACUUAUUGACCGUGCGGUCCGUGACAAUAAUAAUGACCUUUUCUAUUAUGUGAACCUUCCCCCAGAAUUGAUAAACCCUUAUAAGGAUACAUGGGUAACUUUUCUAAGUGAUUUCUCGAGAUAUAUCAUACACCAACUAUUGGUAUGUGUUUCCCGUGAUGGUCACCAGCGGAAUAUUACUUGGUAUGGUACUUCUGAUCUCCGGGACGUACUGAUUUCAAGCGGGCAUGUUAGGAUCAGCCCCCAUAUCGUCGAAAAUACAUACACCCCUAUUGGUGGUAGACUUGAUUAUCUUAAGCUAGUUUCAAUUCUAAAGGAUAAAUUCGUCGAUAAUUUACAAGGUUCUUCCUCCCCUUGCCAUCUGAACAAUUUACUUUCUGUAUUGUGCACUACUUCCCAUGAAACUUAUGGAAGAUCCGAUCUAUUCAUUACAUUUUUUAUAAACCAUCCGUGCUUGUUAUCAUGUGGAGAAAGAGUUGCACGAUACCUUCAAUAUGAUCAUAUGAUUACAAAUCUUGUGCAACGCGAUCUUCGCAAAUUUAAGCAAUAUUUGAAUGAUACUUUUGGAGAUCCUCCUUCUUGGAUCGCUGAUAUCAGCUGGGUUCCUGACAUGUGGAAGACAUACAAUUAUAGUCCUAAUAACAACUCAACCACGUACCAUUUUGCUGCUAUCUUGCUUUCUGAGGUGGAAGAGGACGGUUUCAUGGAGUCCUUUUAG